GUGGGGACAAGCAUGGGAUGGGGGGUGGUCUGCACAUUUCAGCCCCUGGUUCCAGCCCUUCCUGAAGCUCAUCUGCAGCUCUGCCUUGAUUUCUUUGGGACGGCUUUGUAUCCCUAUGAGGAGCUCCUUGAGGUGGUUUAUGUCCCUGGCAACCCAGAGAGUCCUGGAUAACGCACCUGAAUUGAGGCUUUCAAAAGGGCAAGAAGCAGGACACCAGGAAGAGAUUAUCCAGAUAGCUCAUUUCAUCCAAUACUGUCAUGAGAGUCACUUGGUUCUGCUGAAUACACGUAGACCCUCGAGCUUCAGCACAGCCACACCAGGUAACAAGAGGAUUCAGAAUCUGAGAGAUACUGCUUAAAAGGAAAAUGUCCUGGAGGGAUGCCAAACUGCACUCUCAAAGGUUUCGGCUGGAUGUGUGAUAUUGAUGGGGAAACCCAUUUCAGUGUCUCUAAGAAGGGGGUAGUGCUCCUCUUUCCAGGAUGUCUCUGGGGAAUCUAGAGCACCCCAAAGUGUGGUAUGCAUAGAAACAUUGCUGCUUAAGGUCUGAAUAUUUGUUCCUCAUCAAUUCAUGUGUUGAAAUUCUAACCUCUCCUGAAUGGGAUUAGUGCUCUUACACGAGAGGCCUGACAGAGACUCCUCACCCUUCCCACCAUGCGAAGACACAGUGAGAAGGCUCAGUCUAUGAACCAAAAUGUUGACUGUCACCAUUUACUCAAUCUGCUGUCGCCUUGAGCUUGGACUUCCCAGCCUCCAGAACUGUGAGAAAUAAAUUUCUGUUGCUUAUAAGACAACCAGUUUAUGACAUUUCGUUAUAGCAGCCUGAAUGGACUAAGACACCCUUCCCACCAUGUGAAGACAGAGUGAGAAGGUUCGGUCUAUGAACCAAAAACUGACCCUCACCAGUCAUUGAAUCUGCUGGUGCCUUGAUCUUGGACUUCCCAGCCUCCAGAACUGUGAGAAAUAAAUUUCUGUCGUUUAUAAGCCACCUAGUUUAUGAUACUUUGUUAUAGCAGCCUGAAUGGACUGAGACACCCACCUUAAAAAGACAGUACCUCAAAACCAUAAGGCAGGAUAACUGCUAGCCUGAUAUUAAUAGUUUUUAAUUUACUGCUAGCUUCAUUUUGCCAACUGAGUCAGAUAUUUUUUAAAAGUUCUGUUUGCAAUUAUUUUAACUUAGGAGAGGAGAAAAAGAGCAGGCAUCAGCCUGCAUAUGGGAUAUUUCUGAAAGGAUUUUGCUAUGAUUAGCUUGCCCUCAGGGAGAGUAAAAUGUGAGUUAUACAACCAUGCUUAUAUUUAGAUGUUGUUGAUGUUCUGGCUUAUAAUAUAUGAUGAGUUAGAAAUAAUUUUGUACUGAUCAGCCCAACCAGAAAAUAAACAUGCUUUAACUUGUAUUUAUUACUAAACUUGGUCUCCUAAAACAUGAUAAAGCAGUUGAGUCUAUAAUGACUGAGCCAUAGCUUCUCUGACUGACUCUAAGAGGGAAUGACGUUAAUAAGAGAUUAGCCCAUACCUCUAAUAGCCCUGGGAGAGAUGAACCCAAGACGGCAAGGCCCAGCUCUGAUGGAUGAAGGGACAGAGAACUAUAAGAAGACUGGGUUCCAUCUAGGAUGGGUGGCCUGUUGAGUGCCCAUCUUAUCUGCUUAGAUGAUGAUACUUGGAGACCUGACUCAAUUGUUGUGAAUGGUCUUUGUAAAAUUUUAUUUUAGAGACAGGGUCUUGCUAUGUUGCCCAGGCUGGUCUCAAACACCUGGGCUCAAGUGAUCCUCCUGCCUCAGCCUCCUGAGUAGCUGGAACUGCAAGUGAUUACUCUUAUUGAACAAACAAACAAAAACAAGUGCCUGUGACCUAAUAGAGAUGCAUGCAUAUGUUCACCAAAAGAUCUAGAAUGUCCACAACAGCCCUAUUUAUCAUCACCCCAAAUGGGGCACCCUGCACCUACCUCAACAGUAGAUGCAUACAUUUCUGUGUAUUUACACUGUGGAAUAUGACACAGCAAUGACAAUGAAUGAACUACAGCUAUACACAACAACAUGGAUGGCUAUCACAAACAUAAGGUAGAGCUAAAAGCGAAAAAAACCAGCAUAAAAGUGGGCAAAAGCCAUCUAUGUUGUUAAAAAUCAGGAUAGUGGCUGCCCUGGAAGGGGGCAUGAGGAGGCUUCAAGGUGCUUGUCAUGUUCUCUUUCUUCACU
rnacentral:lncRNA from 10 species